GAGCGCGCAGAGCCGGCGCGGCGGACAUGCGCGUCCCCGGCCCGAGCUCCGGCUGAGCAGGGCACGCGGGGAGAGGGGUCGCCUGGACGGGCCAGGGCCACCCGGGGCUCGCGCUCCACGCCCGCGUCCAUGCAGCCCGGCUCCGGCCCCGGGACUAGGGGCGACUGCCUGGGGCGCCGGCGAGGCAUCCGUGGGCUCUGAGAAGCUCUUUGCGCCGGGAACCGAUAAAGGCCCAGCGCUUGAGAAGUCGGAGGCCAAGGCCGGGCCGGUGCCCAAGGUGUCAGGCCUGGAGCGCAGCCGCGAGCUCAGCGCCGAGAGCUUCCUGCCCACUGCCAGCCCCGCGCCCCAUGCCGCGCCCUGCCCGGGGCCCCCGCCCGGCUCCCGCGCCAAUCCCUUGGUGAAGAAGGAA
rnacentral:lncRNA from 1 species